CCUACGGGGAGCAGCAGUGAGGAAUAUUGGUCAAUGGACGAGAGUCUGAACCAGCCAAGUAGCGUGAAGGAUGACUGCCCUAUGGGUUGUAAACUUCUUUUAUAUGGGAAUAAAAUGUUCCACGUGUGGGAUUUUGUAUGUACCAUGUGAAUAAGGAUCGGCUAACUCCGUGCCAGCAGCCGCGGUAAUACGGAGGAUCCGAGCGUUAUCCGGAUUUAUUGGGUUUAAAGGGAGCGUAGGUGGAUUGUUAAGUCAGUUGUGAAAGUUUGCGGCUCAACCGUAAAAUUGCAGUUGAAACUGGCAGUCUUGAGUACAGUAGAGGUGGGCGGAAUUCGUGGUGUAGCGGUGAAAUGCUUAGAUAUCACGAAGAACUCCGAUUGCGAAGGCAGUUCACUGGACUGCAACUGACACUGAGGCUCGAAAGUGUGGGUAUCAAACAGGAUUAGAUACCCUUGUAGUC
rnacentral:rRNA from 1 species